AUGCCGGCCGGUGAGCCCCUCCCCGGCCGUGGUGCCAGCAGCAGGCCUGCAGCGCCGGCCACAGCGUACUCUGGCGUUGCCAAGAAGCUGCCACUGGCUCUGCUCGUGUUCUUCUCGGCACUGCUCUACAACCAGAUUCAGCCGCCGCCGCCAAAGGUCCCUGGCUCGCCGGGCGGGCCUCCGAUCACGGCAAACCGGACAAAGCUCAGGGACGGCAGGCACCUGGCCUACCUGGAAUCCGGCGUCCCAAAGGAUCAGGCCAAGUACAAGAUCAUUUUCGUCCAUGGCUUCUUCUGCUGCAGAUACGACGUGCUCAACGUCUCCCAGGGGCUGCUACAGGAACUGGGCAUCUACCUGCUGUCCUUCGACCGGCCGGGGUACUGCGAGAGCGACGCGCACCCGGCGCGGACGGAGGAGAGCAUCGCCGUCGACAUCGCCGAGCUGGCCGACAACCUGCAGCUGGGGCCCCGGUUCCACCUCAUGGGCUUCUCCAUGGGCGGCGAGAUCAUGUGGAGCUGCCUCAAGCACAUCCCGCACAGGCUCGCCGGCGUGGCCAUUCUCGCGCCGGUAGGCAACUACUGGUGGUCCGGCCUGCCGCCGGACGUGUACCAGGAGGCGUGGUACGUGCAGUUCCCGCAAGACCGAGCCGCCGUCUGGGUCGCCCACCACCUCCCGUGGCUGGCCAACUGGUGGAACACCCAGAGGCUGUUCCCAAGCUCCAGCGUCAAGGCCCGCAACCCCGCCAUCUACUCCAGGGAAGACAAGCCGCUCAGCGCCAAAUUCGCCCAGCGAGCCCACAAUAAGCAGGUCACGCAGCAAGGGGAGCACGAGUCCCUGCACCGGGACAUGAUCGUCGGGUUCGGGAAGUGGGGAUGGAGCCCGCUGCAGCCGGGCAACCCGUUCGCCGGCGUUGGCGACGAUGUGAAGGUGCACCUGUGGCACGGAGUCGAAGACCUGUUCGUGCCUGUUGCCCUGUCCCGGUACAUCAGCAAGAGGCUCCCCUGGGUGAUCUACCACGAGCUCCCGACGGCCGGCCACCUGUUCCCGGUCGCCGACGGGAUGCCCGACGUCAUCGUCAAGUCGCUGCUGCUCGGAGACGGGUGA
rnacentral:rRNA from 1 species